rnacentral:rRNA from 1 species
AACACAUGCAAGUCGAACGGAAAGCCCGCUUGCGGGUACUCGAGUGGCGAACGGGUGAGUAACACGUGGGCAACCUGCCCUCAGCUUCGGGAUAACACUUGGAAACAGGUGCUAAUACCGGAUAAUAACUUUUCAUCGCAUGGUGGAUGGUUCAAAGUUUUUCGGCUGAGGAUGGGCCCGCGGCCUAUCAGCUUGUUGGUGGGGUAAUGGCCUACCAAGGCGACGACGGGUAGCCGGCCUGAGAGGGCGACCGGCCACACUGGGACUGAGACACGGCCCAGACUCCUACGGGAGGCAGCAGUGGGGAAUAUUGCGCAAUGGGCGAAAGCCUGACGCAGCGACGCCGCGUGAGGGAUGACGGCCUUCGGGUUGUAAACCUCUUUCAGCUCUGACGAAGCGCAAGUGACGGUAGGAGCAGAAGAAGCACC